CCUACGGGAUGCAGCAGUGAGGAAUAUUGGUCAAUGGACGAGAGUCUGAACCAGCCAAGUAGCGUGAAGGAUGACUGCCCUAUGGGUUGUAAACUUCUUUUAUAAAGGAAUAAAACGAGGCACGUGUGCCUUUUUGCAUGUACUUUAUGAAUAAGGAUCGGCUAACUCCGUGCCAGCAGCCGCGGUAAUACGGAGGAUCCGAGCGUUAUCCGGAUUUAUUGGGUUUAAAGGGAGCGUAGAUGGGUUGUUAAGUCAGUUGCGAAAGUUUGCGGCUCAACCGUAAAAUUGCAAUUGAUACUGGCAGUCUUGAGUACAGUUGAGGUAGGCGGAAUUCGUGGUGUAGAGGUGAAAUGCUUAGAUAUCGCGAAGAACCCCGAUUGCGAAGGCAGCUUACUAAACUGUGACUGACAUUGAUGCUCGAAAGUGUGGGUAUCAAACAGGAUUAGAUACCCUAGUAGUC
rnacentral:rRNA from 1 species